rnacentral:rRNA from 1 species
GACGAACGCUGGCGGCGUGCUUAACACGUGCAAGUCGAACGGUAAGGCCCUUCGGGGUACACGAGUGGCGAACGGGUGAGUAACACGUGGGUGAUCUGCCCUGCACUUCGGGAUAAGCCUGGGAAACUGGGUCUAAUACCGGAUAGGACCACUGCCUGCAUGGGUGGUGGUGGAAAGCUUUUGCGGUGUGGGAUGGGCCCGCGGCCUAUCAGCUUGUUGGUGGGGUGAUGGCCUACCAAGGCGACGACGGGUAGCCGCCUGAGAGGGUGACCGGUCACACUGGGACUGAGAUACGGCCCAGACUCCUACGGGAGGCAGCAGUGGGGAAUAUUGCACAAUGGGCGCAGGCCCGAUGCAGCGACGCCGCGUGAGGGAUGACGGCCUUCGGGUUGUAAACCUCUUUCAGCUAUGACGAAGCGCAAGUGACGGUAGUAGCAGAAGAAGGACCGGCCAACUACGUGCCAGCCGCCGCCGUAA